AUGCUUUUAUUGAAAGAUUUUGAAAUGGGUUCUAUUUUUCUUUGUUUAUUUAAUAAUUGAUAGGGCUUUUUUUCAAAUCAUAUAUUUUGCUAAUCAAAUAAAUAAUCAUCAGGUUGCAUUUUUAGUUUGUUGAAAAAAUUGUAUUAAUGGUGAGUUUGAUCUCCUGUACAAUGUUUUGAUAAAUUCAUGAAAAAGCUUCAUCUUUCUUUGUUGAUGAUGUGUUUGGAGUUUUUCAAACGGGUUUGAUCUGAAACUUAUAGACUUUGAAACCGCAGUUGCGGUUGGAAAAGGAAACAAUAUGAUCUUGAACGGAUCUGAUUAAGUACGUCGGAGAAAAAAAGGAUAAAGAUUUGUGGGUGUGAAGGAUGCGUGUUUGUAGGUGUGACGGUGGACGGCUGUUGGUGGUUAUGAUAGAGGAACGCACCCGGCGAUUUUUUACGUAAAGGGUGUAUUGGAAAGGUGCCAACAAAUCGACUGGACCAAUACAAAAGUGCCACGUGGACGGAACUCUAAAAUCAAAUAGGUUCCUCGAGUGAAACGUUACGAUGGUGUGUUUAAAGGGAACCGAAGUUGCUUUUUGUAUAG
rnacentral:lncRNA from 1 species